rnacentral:rRNA from 1 species
UACGUAGGUGGCAAGCGUUGUCCGGAUUUACUGGGUGUAAAGGGCGUGUAGCCGGGCUGACAAGUCAGAUGUGAAAUCCGGGGGCUCAACCCCCGAACUGCAUUUGAAACUGUUGGUCUUGAGUAUCGGAGAGGCAGGCGGAAUUCCUAGUGUAGCGGUGAAAUGCGUAGAUAUUAGGAGGAACACCAGUGGCGAAGGCGGCCUGCUGGACGACAACUGACGGUGAGGCGCGAAAGCGUGGGGAGCAAACAGG